UACGAAGGGGGCUAGCGUUGCUCGGAAUUACUGGGCGUAAAGGGUGCGUAGGCGGGUCUUUAAGUCAGGGGUGAAAUCCUGGAGCUCAACUCCAGAACUGCCUUUGAUACUGAGGAUCUUGAGUUCGGGAGAGGUGAGUGGAACUGCGAGUGUAGAGGUGAAAUUCGUAGAUAUUCGCAAGAACACCAGUGGCGAAGGCGGCUCACUGGCC
rnacentral:rRNA from 1 species